rnacentral:rRNA from 1 species
UGGGGAAUUUUGGACAAUGGGGGAAACCCUGAUCCAGCCAUCCCGCGUGUGCGAUGAAGGCCUUCGGGUUGUAAAGCACUUUUGGCAGGAAAGAAACGUCAUGGGUUAAUACCCCGUGAAACUGACGGUACCUGCAGAAUAAGCACGGGCUAACUACGUGCCAGCAGCCGCGGUAAUACGUAGGGUGCAAGCGUUAAUCGGAAUUACUGGGCGUAAAGCGUGCGCAGGCGGUACGGAAAGAAAGAUGUGAAAUCCCAGAGCUCAACUGUGGAACUGCAUUUUUAACUACCGGGCUAGAGUAUGUCAGAGGGAGGUGGAAUUCCGCGUGUAGCAGUGAAAUGCGUAGAUAUGCGGAGGAACACCGAUGGCGAAGGCAGCCUCCUAGGAUAACACUGACGCUCAUGCACGAAAGCGUGGGGAGCAAACAGG